CCUACGGGAGGCAGCAGUGAGGAAUAUUGGUCAAUGGGCGCGAGCCUGAACCAGCCAAGUAGCGUGAAGGAUGACUGCUCUACGGGUUGUAAACUUCUUUUAUAAAGGAAUAAAGUGAGGCACGUGUGCCUUUUUGUAUGUACUUUAUGAAUAAGGAUCGGCUAACUCCGUGCCAGCAGCCGCGGUAAUACGGAGGAUCCGAGCGUUAUCCGGAUUUAUUGGGUUUAAAGGGAGCGUAGAUGGGUUGUUAAGUCAGUUGUGACAGUUUGCGGCUCAAUCGUAAAAUUGCAAUUGAUACUGGCAGCCUUGUGUUCUGUUGGGGUAGGCGGAUUUCGUGGUGUCGCGGUGCACUUCU
rnacentral:rRNA from 1 species